rnacentral:rRNA from 1 species
AUUGAACGCUGGCGGAAUGCUUUACACAUGCAAGUCGAACGACAGCACGGACUUCGGUCUGGUGGCGAGUGGCGAACGGGUGAGUAAUGUAUCGGAACGUGCCCAGUCGUGGGGGAUAACGUAGUGAAAAUUACGCUAAUACCGCAUACGAACUAUGGAUGAAAGCGGAGGAUCGCAAGACCUCGCGCGAUUGGAGCGGCCGAUAUCAGAUUAGGUAGGUGGUGGGGUAAAGGCCCACCAAGCCAACGAUCUGUAGCUGGUCUGAGAGGACGACCAGCCACACUGGAACUGAGACACGGUCCAGACUCCUACGGGAGGCAGCAGUGGGGAAUUUUGGACAAUGGGCGAAAGCCUGAUCCAGCCAUUCCGCGUGCAGGAUGAAGGCCCUCGGGUUGUAAACUGCUUUUGUACAGAACGAAAGGGUUUCUACUAAUACUAGGAGCUCAUGACGGUACUGUAAGAAUAAGCACCGGCUAACUACGUGCCAGCCGCCGCCGUAA